GGAGUUAGCCGGUGCUUCUUCUGUGAGUGAUGUCCUUCCUGCCGGCUAUUAACCCGCAGGCCUUCUUCCUCACUGAAAGUGCUUUACAACCCGAAGGCCUUCUUCACACACGCGGCAUGGCUGGAUCAGGGUUGCCCCCAUUGUCCAAUAUUCCCCACUGCUGCCUCCCGUAGGAGUCUGGGCCGUGUCUCAGUCCCAGUGUGGCUGAUCAUCCUCUCAGACCAGCUACGGAUCGUCGCCUUGGUGAGCCGUUACCUCACCAACCAGCUAAUCCGACAUAGGCUCAUCCGAUAGCGCGAGGCCCGAAGGUCCCCCGCUUUCCCCCGUAGGGCGUAUGCGGUAUUAGCCUGGGUUUCCCCAGGUUAUCCCCCACUACCGGGCAGAUUCCUAUGCAUUACUCACCCGUCCGCCGCUCGCCACCAGGGAGCAAGCUCCCCGUGCUGCCGCUCGACUUGCAUGUGUUAGGCCUGCCGCCAGCGUUCAAUCUGAGCAGAAUACAACUACUGA
rnacentral:rRNA from 1 species